rnacentral:rRNA from 1 species
AGUGAACGCUGACGGUAGGCCUAACACAUGCAAGUCGAACGGCAGCACAGUAAGAGCUUGCUCUUACGGGUGGCGAGUGGCGGACGGGUGAGGAAUACAUCGGAAUCUACUUUUUCGUGGGGGAUAACGUAGGGAAACUUACGCUAAUACCGCAUACGACCUACGGGUGAAAGCAGGGGAUCUUCGGACCUUGCGCGAUUGAAUGAGCUGAUGUCGGAUUAGCUAGUUGGCGGGGUAAAGGCCCACCAAGGCGACGAUCCGUAGCUGGUCUGAGAGGAUGAUCAGCCACACUGGAACUGAGACACGGUCCAGACUCCUACGGGAGGCAGCAGUGGGGAAUAUUGGACAAUGGGCGCAAGCCUGAUCCAGCCAUACCGCGUGGGUGAAGAAGGCCUUCGGGUUGUAAAGCCCUUUUGUUGGGAAAGAAAAGCAGCAGGUUAAUACCCCGCUGUUCUGACGGUACCCAAAGAAUAAGCACCGGCUAACUUCGUG